GAUGAACGCUGGCGGCGUGCCUAAUACAUGGAAGUCGAGCGAACAGAUAAGGAGCUUGCUCCUUUGACGUUAGCGGCGGACGGGUGAGUAACACGUGGAUAACCUACCUAUAAGACUGGGAUAACUUCGGGAAACCGGAGCUAAUACCGGAUAACAUAUUGAACCGCAUGGUUCAAUAGUGAAAGGCGGCUUUGCUGUCACUUAUAGAUGGAUCCGCGCCGUAUUAGCUAGUUGGUAAGGUAACGGCUUACCAAGGCAACGAUACGUAGCCGACCUGAGAGGGUGAUCGGCCACACUGGAACUGAGACACGGUCCAGACUCCUACGGGAGGCAGCAGUAGGGAAUCUUCCGCAAUGGGCGAAAGCCUGACGGAGCAACGCCGCGUGAGUGAUGAAGGUCUUCGGAUCGUAAAACUCUGUUAUCAGGGAAGAACAAAUGUGUAAGUAACUGUGCACAUCUUGACGGUACCUGAUCAGAAAGCCACGGCUAACUACGUG
rnacentral:rRNA from 1 species